ACUAUAUAUCAUUGGGUAGAUGGGAGUCUGUUCUUGUAUGUGUCCGUUGGUUUUUACCUUUAGCAUU
rnacentral:sRNA from 1 species